AGUGAACGUUGGCGGCGUGGAUUAGGCAUGCAAGUCGAGCGAGAACCGUAGCAAUACGGGGACAGCGGCGAAAGGGACAGUAAUGUGUAGGUACCUACCCCGAGGUCUGGGAUAGCUGCGGGAAACUGCAGGUAAUACCGGAUAAUGUCUUCGGACCAAAGGUGUGAUUCCACCUGGGGAGGGGCCUGCAUCCUAUUAGCUAGUUGGCGGGGUAAUGGCCCACCAAGGCGACGACGGGUAGCGGGUGUGAGAGCACGACCCGCGUCAUUGGGACUGAGACACUGCCCAGACGCCUACGGGUGGCUGCAGUCGAGGAUCUUCGGCAAUGGGCGAAAGCCUGACCGAGCGACGCCGCGUGCGGGAUGAAGGCCUUCGGGUUGUAAACCGCUGUCGUAGAGGAGGAAAUGCAGGUGGGUUCUCCCAUCUGUUUGACCUAUUCUAGGAGGAAGUACGGGCUAAGUUCGUGCCAGCAGCCGCCGUAA
rnacentral:rRNA from 1 species